rnacentral:rRNA from 1 species
UAGGGAAUCUUCCACAAUGGGCGCAAGCCUGAUGGAGCAACGCCGCGUGUGUGAUGAAGGCUUUCGGGUCGUAAAGCACUGUCGUAUGGGAAGAAAUGCUAGAAUAGGGAAUGAUUCUAGUUCGACGGUACCAUACCAGAAAGGGACGGCUAAAUACGUGCCAA